rnacentral:rRNA from 1 species
UACGUAGGGGGCUAGCGUUGUCCGGAAUCAUUGGGCGUAAAGCGCGUGUAGGCGGUUCGGUAAGUCCGCUGUGAAAGUCGGGGGCUCAACCCUCGAAUGCCGGUGGAUACUGUCGGACUAGAGUACGGAAGAGGCGAGUGGAAUUCCUGGUGUAGCGGUGAAAUGCGCAGAUAUCAGGAGGAACACCAAUUGCGAAGGCAGCUCGCUGGGACGGUACUGACGCUGAGACGCGAAAGCGUGGGGAGCGAACAGG